UAGUUUAGUAGAGCUGGGACGAAGUCCCAAGUCUCUCUAAUCCACUUUGCACUACAUCAUGCUGCUCUGGCUUCCGGCUCGCACAGUGCAGAAAAAUCAGGUGACCUCCACGGUACCAAGGGAACCUAGCCCUCCAGAGACCUAGAGACUAGCUCUUUGUCAUCCCCAGGCUGGCCCAGGCUGGAAAUCGGAAGUGCGCCAGGCGUUUGGGCAUUUUGGGAAAUGUAGUCUGUGCUUUAUCCUUGGCCAAGCGCCCUUGCUCAUCCGCUGGAUCUGAUUGGUCUCUUCGUAGGACGCGAUUGACCUAUCCAAGACCACCGGCCUCCACAUUGCCUGAGAGACUCUGGGCCGAAGACAGCAGCCCUCGCCGAAGGGGUGGGAAGAGGAGGGUGGACAGAGUAAUCAACAGCGACUGGUCAGAGACUCGUUAGAGGCGGGAUAAGGAAUAACAAUGGCUAAGUGGUGCACAGCCUGUCGAACAGCCCGAGGGCAGACCUCAUUGGCUGCGCCUUCGCCCUUCUAAUCCAAUAAAUUAAUUUUCUCCUCUUUCGAACUACUCACGAUCUCCACCUAGCAGAAGUACCUUGCCUUGAAAAUAAGCAAGCACUUGAGUCCUUAAGGAAUGAACAUGUUAGAAGUCUACAUGCGCUGUCUCCAAUAGAAUGGAAGCUACUGGAGAUCAGGGACUGAUUCAUUUUUGUUUUGUACCCCCAGCACUUCCAAAAGUGUCCAGCAAGUAAGAUGCUUCAUACUACUGACUGUUUCCUGUCUCUCUUCCGCCACUCCCUCAGACCCUGUACAAAAACCCACGCCGUUUCAAGACAAGAGACAGUUUAUUGGGGAUGAGACAGUGUCAACAGAGAUCCCAGAGAUAAAACCCUUAUUGCCUA